ACAUUACUGUAGAGGUCAAUGGUGAACCACUUCAGCCACCCAGACUGAAUAGAGCCCUUAGUGUCAGACAUUACUGUAGAGGUCAAUGGUGAACCACUUCAGCCACCCAGACUGAAUAGAGCCCUUAGUGUCAGACGUUACUGUAGAGGUCAAUGGUGAACCACUUCAGCCACCCAGACUGAAUAGAGCCCUUAGUGUCAGACGUUACUGUAGAGGUCAAUGGUGAACCACUUCAGCCACCCAGACUGAAUAGAGCCCUUAGUGUCAGACAUUACUGUAGAGGUCAAUGGUGAACCACUUCAGCCACCCAGACUGAAUAGAGCCCUUAGUGUCAGACAUUACUGUAGAGGUCAAUGGUGAACCACUUCAGCCACCCAGACUGAAUAGAGCCCUUAGUGUCAGACGUUACUGUAGAGGUCAAUGGUGAACCACUUCAGCCACCCAGACUGAAUAGAGCCCUUAGUGUCAGACGUUACUGUAGAGGUCAAUGGUGAACCACUUCAGCCACCCAGACUGAAUAGAGCCCUUAGUGUCAGACAUUACUGUAGAGGUCAAUGGUGAACCACUUCAGCCACCCAGACUGAAUAGAGCCCUUAGUGUCAGACAUUACUGUAGAGGUCACAAGGAACCACUUCAGCCACCCAGACUGAAAUAGAGCCCUUAGUGUCAGACGUUACUGUAGAGGUCAAUGGUGA